AGCUCAAAUUUGAAAUCUGGCACUUUCAGUGUCCGAGUUGUAAUUUGAAGAAGGUAUCUUUGGGUCUGGCUCUUGUCUAUGUUUCUUGGAACAGAACGUCACAGAGGGUGAGAAUCCCGUGCGAUGAGAUGACCCAGACCUAUGUAAAGUUCCUUCGAAGAGUCGAGUUGUUUGGGAAUGCAGCUCUAAGUGGGUGGUAAAUUCCAUCUAAAGCUAAAUAUUGGCGAGAGACCGAUAGCGAACAAGUACAGUGAUGGAAAGAUGAAAAGAACUUUGAAAAGAGAGUGAAAAAGUACGUGAAAUUGUUGAAAGGGAAGGGCUUGAGAUCAGACUUGGUAUUUUGUAUGUUACUCUUUCGGGGGUGGCCUCUACAGUUUACCGGGCCAGCAUCAGUUUGGGCGGUAGGAGAAUUGCAAAGAAAUGUGGCACUGCUUCGGUAGUGUGUUAUAGUCUUUGUCGAUACUGCCAGCCUAGACUGAGGACUGCGGCUUCGGCCUAGGAUGUUGGCAUAAUGAUCUUAAGUCGCCCGUCUUG
rnacentral:rRNA from 1 species